rnacentral:lncRNA from 1 species
AUGUCCUCCUCCGCUGGCAGCGGCCACCAGCCCAGCCAGAGCCGCGCCUUCCCCACCCACACCGUGGCCAUCAGCGACGCCGCGCAGCUACCUCUUGACUAUUGCACCACGCCCGAGGGGACGCUCUUCUCCACCACACCAGGAGAAACUCAAAUCAUUUAUGAUAGAAAGUUUCUGUUGGAUCUUCGCAGUUCUUCCAUGGCUCAGACCCCACCUGCCAUCUGCCCAAUAUCCCGGGAGUCACUAGCCCUGGCACCUUAACUGAAGACUCCACAAGUAGAAGUCAAUAAUUUGAACAACUUGAACAAUCAUGACAGGAAACAUGCAGCUGGG